rnacentral:rRNA from 1 species
UACGUAGGGACCAAGCGUUGUUCGGAUUUACUGGGCGUAAAGGGCGCGUAGGCGGUCUGUCGCGUCGAAAGUGAAAACCCAGGGCUUAACCCUGGGCCUGCUUCCGAUACGGGCAGACUAGAGGUAUGCAGGGGAGAACGGAAUUCCUGGUGUAGCGGUGAAAUGCGCAGAUAUCAGGAGGAACACCGGUGGCGAAGGCGGUUCUCUGGGCAUUACCUGACGCUGAGGAGCGAAAGUGUGGGGAGCGAACAGG